AGGGUGUAAACGCUGCAGACUUGGUGUUGGGAACCCUUCGGGGGUGCUCAGUGCCGGAGAGAAGUUGUUAAGUCUGCUACUUGGGGAGUACGUCCGCAAGGAUGAAACUUAAAGGAAUUGGCGGGGGAGCACCGCAACGGGAGGAGCGUGCGGUUUAAUUGGAUUCAACGCCGAAAAACUCACCAGCAGCGACUGUUACAUGAAAGUCAGGUUGAUGACCUUACUAGAUUCUCAGAGAGGAGGUGCAUGGCGUCAGUGACU
rnacentral:rRNA from 1 species